rnacentral:rRNA from 1 species
UACAGAGGGGGCAAGCGUUGUUCGGAAUUACUGGGCGUAAAGGGUGCGUAGGCGGCCCUGUAAGUCAGUGCUGAAAUAUCCCAGCUUAACUGGGAGGGUGGCAUUGAUACUGCGGGGCUAGAGUACAGAUGAGGUAGGCGGAAUUGACGGUGUAGCGGUGAAAUGCUUAGAUAUCGUCAAGAACACCUAUAGCGAAGGCAGCUUACUAGGCUGUAACUGACGCUGAGGCACGAAAGUGUGGGGAUCAAACAGG